GAAAUGCGAUAAGUAAUGUGAAUUGCAGAAUUCAGUGAAUCAUCGAAUCUUUGAACGCACAUUGCGCCCGCCAGUAUUCUGGCGGGCAUGCCUGUUCGAGCGUCAUUUCAACCAUCAAGCCCCCCGGCUUGUGUUGGGGACCUGCGGCUGCCGCAGGCCCUGAAAAGCAGUGGCGGGCUCGCUGUCACACCGAGCGUAGUAGCAUACAUCUCGCUCUGGGCGUGCUGCGGGUUCCGGCCGUUUAACCACCUUCGUAACCCAAGGUUGACCUCGGAUCAGGUAGGAAGACCCGCUGAACUUAAGC
rnacentral:misc_RNA from 1 species